CAAUGGGGCAACCCUGAACGAGCAAUGCCGCGUGAGCGAAGAAGGUCUUCGGAUUGUAAAGCUCUGUUGACCGGGGAAAAAGGAAGGAAAGAGGAAAUGCUUUUCUUUGGAUGGUACCCGGCCAGAAAGUCACGGCUAACUACGUGCC
rnacentral:rRNA from 1 species